rnacentral:antisense_RNA from 1 species
CGUUAUGGGCGGGCCGUGUGGGCACCCGCAAGGGUGGCCGGUUCCUACAGCCGGUAGGCCAACCCGCACGGUUCCGCUCUCCCGA